ensembl:lncRNA
GUAGGUCCUUUUUAGUUAUCUGUUUUGUAAUAGCAGUGUGUAGAUGUCAAUCCCCACUUCCCAAUUUAUCCCUCCUCACCCCCUUUUCCUCUUGGGAACCAUAAGUUUAUUUUCUAUAUGUGUGACCCUAUUUCCGUUUCAUAAAUAAGUUCACUUGUACCAUUUAAAAAAAUAUUCCACAGAUAAAUGAUAUCAUAUGAUAUCUGUCUUUUUCUGUCUGACUGUUUCUGAUGCCCCACGUCCUGUGCCUUUGAGAGUGUCUUUCCCCUCCUCUGGUACUCAAGUUUCUUAAAGUCUGAAACAGAGAAGUUUGGCAGAUAAGAGGUGGCAAGGGAAUUUCCACGGAAUGACUUUUCCUGCUGGGUUUACUCUUUUUAAAUUGUAUUUAUUUUAUCUCUGGUUGUGUUGGGUCUUCGUUGCUGCAUGCGGGCUUUCUCUAGUUGUGGCCGGCUGAGUUUCCUCUCUAGUUGAGGUGCACAGGUGUCUCUGGUUGAGGAGCACAGGCUUUAGAGCACUCAGGUUUCAGUAGCUGCGGUGCACAGGCUUAAUGGCCGCAUGAUAUCUGGAAUCUUCCUGAACCAGGGAUGGAUCCUGUGGUCCCCCGCACUGGCAGAUGCCCCCUGCUCACCUCCUCACAUUCGUCUCCAUCCCCGCUCCAUCUUGUAGCACCAUAGCUCUUGCCAUCCACGCUGCAGAAUCCACUCCGUGAUGGAAACGGUGGGGGUUCAGAAGAUCCAAUGCUGGGAGAGACUCCGAGGGAAAUUCAAGGUUUGGUGCUUGGAAAGUCACAGACCUUCACGGCACAGGGAUUGAAAGAUCGUUCCUUGCUUCCAGCUAGAAUGCAAGCUCAAGAGGAAUUUUAUCUUGCUCAUCAGUCUAUCCCAAAACCUAGAAAGGCAUCUGCCCCAAAAGAAGUGCUCAACAAGUGUUUGUAGAAUGAAUAAACAAUUACCUUCAGCUAUCAAUUUGUACUUUUGAGACAGGGUGGGACCUGGGGCCCAUUACUGCAGUGCUUGCACCUGGACGAACGUCUCCUCAAGAAACAAAAUACAAAGAAAACUAUAACGUAUUAAAAUAAUUGCAUGUGUGCCCAUUUGGGAAAAAUUAUGGACAAUAAAUUACUAUGAAAAGACCAAAGACCCUGAGGAGGAGCUGGGAGCAAAAGCAGGGUACUGCAUACUGCACUUGUAUGCUGCACACAGCAGACCACCUAAACCACCCCUCUGACCUGAUCCUGGGCGCACCCCUAUCCUUACUCCAUUUAAGAAACCAGCUCACCCCCUCUUGGAGAGCUAGGAAGCAAAGGAACCUGUUACUUGUUCUUGUUCCCCCCUGCUGCCACAGGGUCCCCAAUAAAGCCUAGCCUAAAUUUCUUGUUUGGCUUCUCAUCAAUUUCUAUUGAUUCUUAAGAGGCCAAGAGGGGCUUCCCUGGUGGCUCAGCAGUAAAGAAUCUGCCUGCAGUGCAGGAGACAUGGGUUCAAAAUGGUAACCCACUCCAGGAUUCUUGCCUGGGAAUCUCCAUGGGUAGAGGAGACUGGUAGACUGCUGUCCAUGGCGUCACAAAGAGUCAGACAUGACUUAACGACCAAACAGCGGAAAUGAGAGGGCAAGAACCCUGGUUGGUAACAGUUUGAUAAGGAUAAUUGGUACUUAAUUUUAUGUAAAGCACAUUGCAAAAUGGAGUUUCAAGACAGUUAUGAAAGCCACACUCACUCUCCAAUUUACCUUUUAAAUUGGAUUUUGACCUAAAGAUACUCUUACAGAGAAAUUUAAAGCCACCACUAUCGAAGGCCAUUUGGUCCAACUGAUGCGUGGAUCCCCUUCUUGGCCAUCCUGCCAGUUACCC